UACCCAUGAUGAGGGCACUUUCUCAAUAGAUCCUUAAAUGUCUCCUAUGCAUCAUAUAAUGUCUCGAAAUCAAUUUGAGCAAAAGAAGGGAUGUCGUUCCUCAACUU
rfam:Gossypium raimondii chromosome 7, whole genome shotgun sequence.